rnacentral:rRNA from 1 species
UACGGAGGGGGGCUAGCGUUGUUCGGAAUUACUGGGCGUAAAGCGCACGUAGGCGGCUUUGUAAGUUAGAGGUGAAAGCCCGGGGCUCAACUCCGGAAUUGCCUUUAAGACUGCAUCGCUAGAAUUGUGGAGAGGUAAGUGGAAUUCCGAGUGUAGAGGUGAAAUUCGUAGAUAUUCGGAAGAACACCAGUGGCGAAGGCGACUCACUGGACACAUAUUGACGCUGAGGUGCGAAAGCGUGGGGAGCAAACAGG